GUGCCAGCCGCGGCGGUAAUACAGAGGGUAGACGAAGACGUUAAAUCGGAUUUACUGGGCGUAAAGCGUGCGUAGGCGGCUUAUUAAGUCGGAUGUGAAAUCCCCGAGCUUAACUUGGGAAUUGCAUUCGAUACUGGUGAGCUAGAGUAUGGGAGAGGAUGGUAGAAUUCCAGGUGUAGCGGUGAAAUGCGUAGAGAUCUGGAGGAAUACCGAUGGCGAAGGCAGCCAUCUGGCCUAAUACUGACGCUGAGGUACGAAAGCAUGGGGAGCAAAACAGGAUUAGAUACCCUGGUAGUCCAUGCCGUAAACGGUGUCUACUAGCCCGUUGGGGCCUUUGAGGCUUUAGUGGCGCAGCUAACGCGAUAAGUAGACCGCCUGGGGACGUACGGUCGCAAGACUAAAACUCAAAUGAAUUGACGGGGGCCCGCACAAGCGGUGGAGCAUGUGGUUUAA
rnacentral:rRNA from 1 species